GCCCUCGGGCUGGCCCCAACAGCGCCGGAUGCACUCGCGGCAGAAGUUGUGGCCGCAGUCGGUCAUCACCGGGUCCAUGAAGUAAUCGAGGCAGAUGGCGCAGGUGGCCUCCUCCUGGAGACCCAAACGUGGGAUUGCUGAUAACAAGAAAGGCCCCAGGUUUACUUAUAGCGACCCAAACCAGGAGGACCCAGCCUCCCCUUGGCUGAGUCCAGCUGUGAGCCUGGAUCUCUGCAUGGGCCGUACCCCAGCUGCCGAUGUUGUUGGUGCCAAGGAGAUGAGCUGGGGACCAUUUGGGCAUCUGGGAGUGGCAGGUGCCCCAUGUCACCCUCCAGCUUCAGCUGCAGACAACAGACGGUGGGAUAGGAGUUGGAGGCCCCCUGCACACCCACUUCAGGAGGUGCCCUCUGAAGCUGCAUCAAAGGGGAUGGAAAUGCACCCCGUAGCCUGCCCCGUGGGCGUGAGAAUCAUUUUAAGCUGGAGGCAGAGAGACACCUUCCGAGGCUCCUGUUAUGUGACCAAAAGCGGAAACUGCUGAGGAAUGAGGGUUGCCACAGGUCCGCCUCCCAGGGGAAGUUUUAUGGCUCUGAAGGAGGUGGAAAGUGGGACACCACUGAUGAACUUUAUCGUUUGUUGGUUUCCCCAAAAUACUUUCUGUUAUGAUCUGAAUGUUCAUGUUCCCCAAAAUUCACAUGUUCAAUCCUAACCCCCAAGGAGAUGGGGCCUUUGGGAGGUGAUGAGGUCAGAAAGGUGGAGCCCUCAGGAAUGGGGCUGCUGCGGAAGAAGGGGCUGAGAGCUCCCAGCCCCCUCUUCCAUGUGAGGACGGUGGGAAGUUGGCUGUCUAUGAACUGGGAAGGAGCCCCCACCCGACUGUGCUGGUGCCCUGGUCUUGGACUUCCAGCCUCCAGAGCCGUGAGCAUGAAGUUCUUGCUGUUCAUAAGCCGCCCAGUCUUGUGUUCUGUGACAACAGCUGGAAUGGACCAAGACACUUUCCCAGUUGCUGUCCUUGGGGGCCUGUCACCUUUCCCUUUGUCUCUUCUCUCCAAGUGUACUGUUCCUUGUUCAGAUGCUAAACAAAACCACCCAGCCGGCCGCACACAUUGCUGUGCUUUCCUCCUGUGACGUGUGCGGGCCACAUGUGUUAACAGUUUGCUUUUCUCUCCUUGAUUUGUCUUUUCUCAGUCUGAUUGAGGGUGGAAGAAAAAGGCCCUUUCCUCCCCUACAAAGGGUCACCUGGCCUGCCCACACAGUGGCCUAGAGGCUGCUUUUGUCAGCCUGGGCUCCUGAAUAACUGGAGGGGAUGCUCAGCUGGCCCUGCCACCUACCUGCUUUAUUGUGUGAGUUACAGACACUUCCACUGUGGGGUCCAGCAUUUGGGGCUGUUUGUUACAGUGGUUGUUCUCCUAUCUGACUGAUACACCCCUGGACACACAGACAUGCACUCAGAUCUCCUUGACCCGUUGCCCUUCACCCCUGGGCCCACCUUGUGCUCCUUCACAGCCUCCUCCACCGGGACCACUCUGUGAGGCCGGUGUUCCUGGGACUCCCUGCAGACCACGCAGAUGGGGCUCUGGUCAUCUUCGCAAAAGAGUUUGAGCACCUCCUGGUGCACCUGGCACAGAUCCCUGCUCUGGAUGCCCGGGUGCUGUCGUGCCAUCUCAGCCACCUUGGUCAGCAGGCGGUUGGGCCGCAGGGUCCUCUGGGGGGACAGCUCGCGGCACUCGGGGCAGGGGAAGACACCCUUGCGCUUCCUCCUGCCCUUCUUGCCUUUGGCCUUCUCCCAAGUCAGCCGGAUGCACUCACGGCAGAAGUUGUGGCCACAGGUGGUCAUCACAGGGUCAGUGAAAUAGUCAAGGCAGAUGGAGCAUGUUGCCUCCUCCUGCAGCUUUCUGGAAAGUUCCACAGCAUCCAUGGCUCCUGGGAAAGAAACAGAGUAUCCGGCCACACCCUCUGCCCAGAACCCCAGGCACCUGAGGUGUCCUCUUGCAGACAGCACUGUACAUGUCCUGUUAGGGGACCUGGCUUGUCUUCAGUAAGAGGCAUAGGUGCCUCUCUGAAAGCUGACAAAGACUCUCCACAAUCGAAUUCAGCCAGGUUCCCCUAUGCUGCCACCUCUAUGCCUAGCCAUGCCCAGUUUUAUUCCAUUUAGAGCCCAUUCCUCCCCUCCUGUGAUGCAUGUGCAGGAAUCCUGCUAGUCAGUUUAGCAACAAGAUCCCUCCCCAUUUCUCUUUGUGAUUUUCCAUCACUAACCCCCUCACCGUGCCCUGGGCCAUCCUUCCUUUGUGUAGGCUACAGUAGGAGAUGACCCCAUCUUCCUCCCUAUUGCAAUAGUCUUGAAUAAAGUCUUCCUUACCGGUGUAACCAGUGUCAGAAUCAGUUUUUCUUUAACAGGACAUCCAUGCAACAAAGGAAAGGAGGACUUUAAAAGGUAAAAUCAGAGUUGGGAAAGUUCUCUGCUUGACCAAACUCUAUUCAGGCUCCCAGAACUUUCCUAAUAGGCUCUGGGCUUCCGUGUUUGUGUCUCCGUUGUCCAAGUUUAAUAAGAAUCCCAAUAUGUGGGUUUAGAUCAGCUCCCCUACCCCAGUGGUUCUCAACCUUCUGGCCCUUUAAAUACAGUUCCUCAUGUUGUGGUGACCCCCAACCAUAAAAUUAUUUUUGUUGCUACUUCAUAACUGUAAUGUUGCUACUGUGAUGAAUCAUAAUGUAAAUAUCUGAUAUGCAGGAUGGUCUUAGGCCACCCCUGUGAAACGGUCGUUCGACCGCCAAAAGGGUCGCAACCCACAGGUUGAGAACCGCUGCCCUACCCAGUGGCUUCCUGUUAGUAAUUUCCUGUCACUCACCCACCUUAACCAUAAAUCCCCACUGGGAGUUGAGCUUUCUGUGGGAUUCUGUGCUUCCCCUACGGCAGUCCUGAAUAAAAUGUUCUUACUGCUCUA